rnacentral:rRNA from 1 species
GUGUCAGCCGCCGCGGUAAUACGGAGGGAGCUAGCGUUGUUCGGAAUUACUGGGCGUAAAGCGCACGUAGGCGGCUUUGUAAGUUAGAGGUGAAAGCCUGGAGCUCAACUCCAGAAUUGCCUUUAAGACUGCAUCGCUCGAAUCCAGGAGAGGUGAGUGGAAUUCCGAGUGUAGAGGUGAAAUUCGUAGAUAUUCGGAAGAACACCAGUGGCGAAGGCGGCUCACUGGACUGGUAUCGACGCUGAGGUGCGAAAGCG